rnacentral:tRNA from 1 species
CUAGAAAGAAAAAACCAAAUUUAUACCAAAGAAGCCAAACUUCUCUAUGCGAAAACACCCCUCUCUA